AGUAAUAUAUUGGAACGUGCCCAGUAGUGGGGGAUAGCCCGGCGAAAGCCGGAUUAAUACCGCAUACGACCUACGGGUGAAAGGGGGGAUCGCAAGACCUCUCGCUAUUGGAGCGGCCGAUAUCAGAUUAGCUAGUUGGUGGGGUAAAAGCUCACCAAGGCGACGAUCUGUAGCUGGUCUGAGAGGACGACCAGCCACACUGGGACUGAGACACGGCCCAG
rnacentral:rRNA from 1 species